UAACACAUGCAAGUCGAGCGGAAACGAGUUAUCUGAACCUUCGGGGAACGAUAACGGCGUCGAGCGGCGGACGGGUGAGUAAUGCCUAGGAAAUUGCCUUGAUGUGGGGGAUAACCAUUGGAAACGAUGGCUAAUACCGCAUAAUGCCUACGGGCCAAAGAGGGGGACCUUCGGGCCUCUCGCGUCAAGAUAUGCCUAGGUGGGAUUAGCUAGUUGGUGAGGUAAUGGCUCACCAAGGCGACGAUCCCUAGCUGGUCUGAGAGGAUGAUCAGCCACACUGGAACUGAGACACGGUCCAGACUCCUACGGGAGGCAGCAGUGGGGAAUAUUGCACAAUGGGCGCAAGCCUGAUGCAGCCAUGCCGCGUGUAUGAAGAAGGCCUUCGGGUUGUAAAGUACUUUCAGCAGUGAGGAAGGGGGUGUCGUUAAUAGCGGCAUCUCUUGACGUUAGCUGCAGAAGAAGCACCGGCUAACUCCGUGCCAGCAGCCGCGGUAAUACGGAGGGUGCGAGCGUUAAUCGGAAUUACUGGGCGUAAAGCGCAUGCAGGUG
rnacentral:rRNA from 1 species